rnacentral:rRNA from 1 species
AAAGAUCUUUCUGGAGGACGAAAAGGUGGGUGCUAAUAUCUCCUCCUGUUGACGUGAAUCCAAGAAGAAGCACCGGCUAACUCCGUGCCAGCAGCCGCGGUAAUACGGGGGGUGCAAGCGUUAAUCGGAAUCACUGGGCGUAAAGGGUGCGUAGGCGGUGCAUUAGGUCUGUCGUGAAAUCCCCGGGCUCAACCUGGGAAUGGCGGUGGAAACCGGUGUACUAGAGUAUGGGAGAGGGCGGUGGAAUUCCAGGUGUAGCGGUGAAAUGCGUAGAGAUCUGGAGGAACAUCAGUGGCGAAGGCGGCCACCUGGCCCAAUACUGACGCUGAGGCACGAAAGCGUGGGGAGCAAACAGGAUUAGAUACCCUGGUAGUCCACGCCCUAAACGAUGAAUACUAGAUGUUUGGUGCCAAGCGUACUGAGUGUCGUAGCUAACGCGAUAAGUAUUCCGCCUGGGAAGUACGGCCGCAAGGUUAAAACUCAAAGGAAUUGACGGGGGCCCGCACAAGCGGUGGAGCAUGUGGUUUAAUUCGAUGCAACGCGAAGACCUUACCUGGGCUUGACAUGUCUGGAAUCCUGCAGAGAUGCGGGAGUGCCCUUCGGGGGAAUCAGAACACAGGGUGCUGCAUGGCCUGUCGUCAGCUCGUGUCGUGAGAUGUUGGGUUAAGUCCGCAACAAGCGCCACCCUUGUCCUUAAGUUGCCGCGGGUUCGGCCGGGCACUCUUAGGGAAGACUGCCGGGGACAAACCGGGAGGAAGGUGGGGGAUGACCUCAAUCCUCAUGGCCCUUUUAUGUCCAGGGC